CAUAUCCAGGAAAUAUAAAAUGUCAUAUAUUUCCUCCUCACUUAAGGACCUGGUAAAACCCUUGUAAGAGAAACAGUCUUUGGUUAUGUUUGAUCGAGGCUCUGGAUUCUUUUUGUGUUGUUUCACUUCUUCUGAGUCUUUUCUGUGUCCCACGCAGUUCUCUCCUGGUGCAAGCCUGUUUUGAACUGUCACUUCUUGUAGCAUCCCCUUUUCUGAUUAUUUGUGGAAAGAACCUCCACGUCUGCAUCUGGAAUUGCUCAAGGGUCACUACAGGACUGUGCAUCUAAAUCUGAAGUAAGAUCUCGAGAGAAAGUGGCAUGUGUCUUAAGAUGUUCAAGCACGGUUGUAAAUUCUCCUUGCUCUGGCUACCCCAGGAUCUAUAAAGCGAGAAGAUGGAUCUGAGAAUGCUGUCUGGGCUUGGUGCCAAGGGCUGGUAUUUCACAGCAGCGACCGCCUCACAGACGAGCUGUGGGAAGCAGGAGGGAGACUCUCUCUUAGGGUGCCACUACUAUGGAGACACAGCUGGGCUGAACAAGAUUUGCUUCAAACGACAACAAGAGAGACAGAAAAUAUCUGGUUCAACCGCUGCCCAAGCAGGCAGGCACCAGAAGAGCUAGCAGCCAAUCCGGCCAUGCUCGAAGCCAGCUCUGCAGCUCAGCCAAUCAGUGACAUCACUGGUGAGAAACUCAUUUACAUCAUGCAGUAAUGAACUUUGUUUAACAUAGCCUCCCCCUUUCCUGCUACCCCUCUCCCCAUAUUAGGUCCUUCCAUUAAUUAUUCUGCUGGCAUAAUUUAAACCGCUAUGCAAAAAUGUGGCUACAUUCUCUCAUAGUUUUUACUUUUUUUCUCCCAUUGGUGCCUGCAGUCACUGGAAGUGAGUCAUCGUACAAUUCUAUUUUAUUUUGAACUUACAAAAAUUACCUUUUCUUUCUUUAAAAUGACGUUUGAAACAAAAUA